AAAGUAAAAUUUAUUAUAAGAGACGAAAUUCACUUAUUUCUACAAAAAUUGAAAUUAUUUUCAAAAGUUAUUAUAACAAAUUUAGGAAGACUCGUCAUAGUAAGUCCUCCCCAUAACUGUUAGUUCACCACUUUUGUCAAAAUUCCUAAUUUCACUCUUGUUUCAUUCAUCUCCUCAUUUUUUUUUUUUCACAAACAUUCUCUCAAGUAGUUGCCUCCACCAUUGAUAUAAUUGCCUCCACAUGUCGCAACGUUGUUGCUUCUCCACGUCAUCCUCUCUCCCAUACACCUUCUCCAACCCAACAUUUUUUCUCUGCAUAAACAAAUUUAUUAUUCUCUUUAUCUCUCUCCCAACCCACUAAUCCAUAAUACAUUCACACAACAAAUGCAACUGAGUUAUUUUGUUUUUCUGAACCAAAUCCUUCUAACCCAAAUGUUUUAUUCUUAAAUUUUCCUUCUUACAGAAGGUUUGUGACCCGUCGUUUCGGUGAUAUAUGAAAUACCAAUUUGGUUUUCCCUCUGUCAAUUUCACUUCUUCGAGCCAACUUUCUUUCUUGGAGCACUACUCCCUUUCUUCGUUUCCCAAUCCACUUGAGUCUGAAAAAAUUGUUUCUCCUUUGCUCGUUUGGUGGUGGUGAGGUGGCUUCGAGCUCGUUUGGUCGUCUGAGGAGGAUGUUGGAGUCUCUACACAAGGCUCAGUGGUGCGUUUCUGUCAUCUUUGUUAGGGGUUUAGUCUACGGUUGAGGGGUUUUCGUUGACGACUAUUCUAAGGUAAAGGCUUACUUGUUAUCUUUUGUUUUGUUGUCGAGGAGGUUGUCGUCGAGGUAGGGUGUCGACAAUCCCUACUGUGGAGAUUUUGUGCUAUGUGAGCGAGGUUUAUCUAAAGCAUCUUGGUGGAGGUUUUGUGUUGUGUUUCUUCUCCUACUGUCAAGGUUUUAGGGUUUCGAUCAGGGGCUGAGCACAAAACGUGUGGAAGGUUCCAACACAGUGGGUUAAAGUUGGUUGCAAAAGGGCUACACUCAAGUGUCCAACAGUUCAUCAUUUCCAAGUAGGUAAAGUUCAUCCUCUUGUGUUUGCCAUGUUCAUUGUGUUCUGUUAAUUGCCUUAUGAACAGAGAGUGAAUUAUAAUUGAAUUUGGAUUGUAAAGUUUGCAAUUUGAGCAAUUUGAGCAUGUAUGAAUUGCCUAUUUUGAUGAUAGCCUUGAUGGGAAAUAAAUUGUGCAAUUUGAGCAUGGAAACUAAUGUUGAUGUUGUUUUAGUUUGCUGCUAAUUGGUCUAUCUAAAAGACUAUAGCCUUAAUUGAUUAAUCCUCCCCCAAAAUAACCAUCCCCCGACUCUUUUCUGGCCACUGAUGGCCUGGACCGACCGGUCGUCCUGGAUUAUGGCGAUCGGCCUCAGACCGCUCGAUAACCACUCCUCACGUUCGUCCCCCAAAGGACUCGUCAUCUAACCUGCAACCCACCAACAUCUUGAGGUCUUGUACAGACUCGACCAUCGUCCCCUUCUGUUUGGAUGCUGCCAAACGCUCAACGUAGGUUUCAAACCUUAUCACUAGAGCUUCCUUCAAACCAUCCCAAGAACGAUUCUUGACUUUCUCCUUCCAAGCUCUGAACCAGUAACCCGCGCUCCCCUCCAUAGUGAAUUCUGCUAGGCGCACCCUUUCUCCCUCUACCACACCUUGCAACUUGAAGAACUUCUCUACCUUGGAUACCUACCCUAACAGAUCAAACCCUUCGAAAGUGGGUAGUUCUACCCUUUUCUUCCCGCAGGGUUGCACUUGGCGUUCAUCCCCUCUCUCCUUCAUCUUCCUCUCGUCGGUCCCAAUGUUGGCCUUCCUAGUUGUGGCCUCGACCACCCAACCUCCUUAUGAUUUCUCGCAAAUCUUGGCAUAUUGCUUUAUAAUCUUGGCAUAUUGUUGCAUAAUCUGGUUGCAGCGCUCCUUUCUGCGCCUUCAUUCUAUCAAUCGCAAUUUCCUUCACCCCCACACAAUUCCGACGACAUGUCUCGAUAUGGCAGUUUCUUGAAACGGCAGGUUCUGGAAUCUGGCGCCCCCACUUCGAAACGACAAUUUCUUGGUAACGUUUUUAUCCCUUCUUGAUUUUCUGACACUUGUCUCCUAAGGAUACUCGGCAACGCUCCUGAUGAUUUUGCAAUUUCUUGAUAAU